rnacentral:lncRNA from 1 species
CAGCUACCCCUUGAGGAAGGCCUUAGGUAUUUUCCUCAAGGGCUGCCACGGUUGGUAGUGUUUACUCCACUGAUCACAUUCACUCUGUGGGUGUUUAUUUACUGUUUACCUAGUCAUGGUAAAUCAAUCAAUCACAUAUUUCUCCAUUUUUAUUUCUCAAAAGAUGACCCCGUUCCAUUUCCUCAUCAUCACCCAACAAGGGAGGUACUAUUGUCUUUGUUUAAUGGAUGAAGACACUAAACCUGCAAGGGUAAGAGUCUUGCCACAAGUGGGUCACAAAUCUAAGAAGUGGAUCACAUAUCUAAGAAGUGGAUCACAUAUAGAUUGUAAAGGCAGAGACACAGAGGGAGAGCACUAUGUGAUGUUGAAAGCAGAGAUUGGAGUUAUGCAGUUUUGAGACAAAGUGAAAGGGGAGUAAAAAGCAACCAGAGAAAAGAAGCAGAUGGGGAAACCGCUUGUGAGAAUGCCUUGUUCUGCAAAACCUUAUCACAGGGGCAGCAAGGGGAGCUGCCUUCUAUGUGACCUUACCUGAGUAGUUCCCAAAUCCUUGUUCUUGGACAUGGGAGGGCUGGAUGCCCAAAAAUCUCCUGAGGAACAUGAAUUACAAAACCCAAG